rnacentral:rRNA from 1 species
GAACGCUGGCGGUAGGCCUAACACAUGCAAGUCGAACGGCAGCACAGUAAGAGCUUGCUCUUACGGGUGGCGAGUGGCGGACGGGUGAGGAAUACAUCGGAAUCUACUUUUUCGUGGGGGAUAACGUAGGGAAACUUACGCUAAUACCGCAUACGACCUACGGGUGAAAGCAGGGGAUCUUCGGCCCUUGCGCGAUUGAAUGAGCCGAUGUCGGAUUAGCUAGUUGGCGGGGUAAAGGCCCACCAAGGCGACGAUCCGUAGCUGGUCUGAGAGGAUGAUCAGCCACACUGGAACUGAGACACGGUCCAGACUCCUACGGGAGGCAGCAGUGGGGAAUAUUGGACAAUGGGCGCAAGCCUGAUCCAGCCAUACCGCGUGGGUGAAGAAGGCCUUCGGGUUGUAAAGCCCUUUUGUUGGGAAAGAAAAGCAGCAGGUUAAUACCCCGCUGUUCUGACGGUACCCAAAGAAUAAGCACCGGCUAACUUCGUG